CAGUGGAAAUCAGUGCAGUUCUAUCCUGUUAAUAUUUUCCUCCCCUUCCCCUUUUCCUUUCUUUUUCUCAGAUAAACCAUUCUGAAGCCAUGAGUUGUGGCCACAGCCUUCUGUAGAGUCUACAUAGAGUUUUCCACGGGUUAAGUGCAGUAGAAAGUCAUCAACACCAUGAUGCAGAGGUGGUCACCUGUGGCCCUGUGAGUUGUCUCUGGCCAGGUCCAGGACCAGAUAAUUCAUGAGAAGAGAGAAAAACACUGAGAAUUGCAGAAGUUCCUCAGAAAAGCAGAGUUGGUCAAAAAAGCAUUUGUGGAGCUUCAGACAGAAUGCAUGA
rnacentral:lncRNA from 1 species